rnacentral:pre_miRNA from 11 species
CGGAGGUGCAUUGUAGUCGCAUUGUCUGUCUCAAAUUUGCCCGCGGCAAUACAACUGCAGUGCAAGCUCCG